AAGAACGCGCGGAGAAGAAAUGUUGAAUGAAAAAUUAAGAACGCAGUGUGUGUGCAAAUUACAAAGCAACAACAACGAUUACUACAACAACAACAACAACCACUGCAACAGCAACAGCAACAACUUCUACAACAGCAACAACAACAACAACAACAGCAGCAGCAACUACGACAACAAACACAAGUUUGGAAAACAAAUAACUAAAGUGUAAAAUUUUUGCAAAUAGCAAAAAAACAAAACAAAAAAACAAGCAAAAGAAAAAUCUCUCACACACACAGAAAAGCGCCGACGCAGCUGCCUUUAAGUACUGAGCACACAAGGUCUUGGAUAUGAGAAAUUGAAUAAUGGACAGAUGAAAUGAAGACUUGAAAGUAUAAAAAACAAAAGAAAAAACCAAAAUGAAAUAGAAAGCAAAAACAAAACGGACAACAGAUGCAUUAAAUAUUCAUAUAAAUUACACUUAUUUAAACAAUUACAAAUAAUAAUAAUAAUAUAAUAAUAAUAAUACAAUUAAUAAUAAAUAUUAAUAAUAAUACUCGAAGCUCAAAUAGACUGAAAUAGAGUCCAAAUAUAUUACGAAAGUAAAUGCAAUUAAUUAUACAUAUCAUAAAAAAUAAUUAGCAAUUGCAUUUAAGUUUAAACAAAUACAAGUUCGAACAAUAGCAACAACAAUAACAAUAACUACAGCAACAACAACUGCAACCAAGAAAACAAACAAAGAAAAACAAAUCAAAUAAUAAAUGAAGCAAUAUUCAAUUGAAAACUAAUCACAACAACAAUAACAACAACGUGAAUUGCGUGAAUAAAAGUGACAAAGAAAGUGUUUAUUGUGCUAGAAGAAGUGCGAAACAGAAACAGCGAGAUAGAGAGAGUGUGAGAGUGAGUGAGAAGGAGAGAGAAGUGUGUGAGAGACGCGCGGCGGGCGUCGUGUGACUGGGCGGCCAGCAAAACACAAUAAGAACAAAAACAGAAAACAGAAAACCAAAAACAAAAAGCAAGAACAACAACAACAACAACUAGAGCAAUGUUCAAAGCAAGAAGAACAAACGAGACGCGGCGCCAAAGCAAAUGAAAUAUAAUUUGAAAACGAAAAUGCGAAAAACUUUACGCGCCUAAAGCAACAAGGGAGCAACUGCAACAACAACAACAGCAACAACAACAGCAAGAGAGCGCGAGCAGCAAGAAGAACAACAACAACGACAAUAAAUAUAAUAACAACACCAACAACAACAACAAGAAGACAAAAGAAGAAGGAGAAGAGAACGAAGAACAACAACAACUAGAGAACAGUCAGGUAAGCGAAGAGCAAAGAUUUCGUUUUAUUUUGAGGCAUACAAAUGCGAGUAAGUGAAUGAUACGAUUUUCAUAUUGAUUAAAUUAC